GACGAACGCUGACGGCGUGCUUAACACAUGCAAGUCGAACGGUAAGGCCCUUCGGGGUACACGAGUGGCGAACGGGUGAGUAACACGUGGGUGAUCUGCCCUGCACUUCGGGAUAAGCCUGGGAAACUGGGUCUAAUACCGGCUAGGACUCCUGCCUGCAUGGGUGGGGGUGGAAAGCUUUUGCGGUGUGGGAUGGGCCCGCGGCCUAUCAGCUUGUUGGUGGGGUGAUGGCCUACCAAGGCGACGACGGGUAGCCGGCCUGAGAGGGUGACCGGCCACACUGGGACUGAGAUACGGCCCAGACUCCUACGGGAGGCAGCAGUUGGGAAUAUUGCACAAUGGGCGCAAGCCUGAUGCAGCGACGCCGCGUGAGGGAUGACGGCCUUCUGGUUGUAAACCUCUUUCAGCACCGACGAAGCGCAAGUGACGGUAGGUGCAGAAGAAGGACCGGCCAACUACGUGCCAGCAGCCGCAGUAA
rnacentral:rRNA from 1 species